GAUGAACGCUGGCGGCGUGCCUAAUACAUGCAAGUCGAGCGAACGGACGAGAAUCUUGCUUCUCUGAUGUUAGCGGCGGACGGGUGAGUAACACGUGGAUAACCUACCUAUAAGACUGGGAUAACUUCGGGAAACCGGAGCUAAUACCGGAUAAUAUUUUGAACCGCAUGGUUCAAAAGUUAAAGACGGUCUUGCUGUCACUUAUAGAUGGAUCCGCGCUGCAUUAGCUAGUUGUUAAGGUAACGGCUUACCAAGGCAACGAUGCAUAGCCGACCUGAGAGGGUGAUCGGCCACAUUGGAACUGAGACACGGUCCAGACUACUACGGGAGGCAGCAGUAGGGAAUCUUCCGCAAUGGGAGAAAGCAUGACGGAGCAACGCCGAGUGAGUGAUGAAGGUCUUCGGAUCGUAAAACUCUGUUAUUAGGGAAGAACAUAUGUGUAAGUAACUGUGCACAUAUUGACGGUAACUAAUCAGAAAGCCACGGCUAACUACGUG
rnacentral:rRNA from 1 species